UGCCCCAUGGCUGAGUUGGUUACAGCGUCCGACUGUUAUUCUGUAUGUAAUAUCGGAAGGUCGAGAGUUCGAGCCUCUCUGGGGCAG